AAAGUGCUGUGUGAACCAACGUUCCACCCAGAAAUGGGAGGGAUUUCAUCUUCAUACAGGAAGCUGGAGUACUUCUGUAAAGAGAAUCUUCACAUUAGUUAUUUGCUAACCUGAGGCACAUUUCUUAUAGGAAUGUGCCCGUGGCUGAAUUCAGGGUACGCUGUGUUGACCAGUCAAUGAGCAGAGCCAGGAAACUCGGUAUCAGAGAAAAGUGGGAGAAAGGAAUGAGCAGACGUAGGGUGAGCAGACUAAAAGCCCACGUUUGGGAAGCGGAUGCGUCAGGAUUGGGCUUUGGAGCUGGUCAGAUGUGAUUCAGAAUCUUGGCUCCAGCCAGUCGCUAGCU